rnacentral:rRNA from 1 species
AUUGAACGCUGGCGGCAGGCUUAACACAUGCAAGUCGAGCGGAUCUUCUGUGCUUGCACCUUAUCUUAGCGUCGGACGGGUGAGUAAUGCUUAGGAAUCUGCCUAUUAGUGGGGGACACCUUGCCGAAAGGAAUGCUAAUACCGCAUACGUCCUACGGGAGAAAGCAGGGGAUCUUCGGCGCUUGCGCUAACAGAUGAGCCUAAGUCGGAUUAGCUAGUUGGUGGGGUAAAGGCCUACCAAGGCGACGAUCUGUAGCGGGUCUGAGAGGAUGAGCCGCCACACUGGGACGGAGACACGGCCCAGACUCCUACGGGAGGCAGCAGUGGGGAAUAUUGGCAAAGGGUCGGAAGCCUGAUCCAGCCAUGCCGCGUGUGUGAACAAGACAUUCUGGUUGGAAGGCACUUUAAGCGAGGAGGAGGCUACUUACAUUAAUACGAUGGGAUAGUGGACGUUACUCGCAGAAUAAGCACCGGCUAACUCGGAGCCAGCAGCCGCCGUAAAAA